UACGAAGGGGGCUAGCGUUGUUCGGAAUUACUGGGCGUAAAGCGCGUGUAGGCGGGUCUUUAAGUCAGGGGUGAAAUGCCAAGGCUCAACCUUGAAACUGCCUUUGAUACUGGAGACCUUGAGUCCGGGAGAGGUGAGUGGAAUUGCGAGUGUAGAGGUGAAAUUCGUAGAUAUUCGCAAGAACACCAGUGGCGAAGGCGGCUCACUGGCCCGGAACUGACGCUGAGACGCGAA
rnacentral:rRNA from 1 species